rnacentral:rRNA from 1 species
UAGGUCUAGGGCGGCGGGUUUGGGAGAGUGGGAAGGGGAGGUGUCGCUCGGUGGGGAUGGUAGGACCGCUCAGCGUGGCGGCGUUGGGAGAGGCGGGAGUAGAGCACGAGGGGUAGGGAAGUAGCACGAUGGGUUGCCCGAGGGAGGGAGAAGACGACGUGUUUUUGGUCGCUCUAGACCCCUCUACCCCCGUGUAACUAUAGCAGCAGUUGGAGCGGCUCGAACUAGGCCCCUCUGGUCCGGGGGCCGGGCGGCAUCACGACCUGCGACACCGACAGAGGAGGGUGACCAGCCUCUGCGCCCCGGACAGUGCGCGAAUGGGCCCCUACAGUGGCCAGCCGUGCUGGACAUGACGAAGGACGACCGGAGAGUGCCGGAGGAGGACCAGUGUCGAUGAGGCGCUGAGGUUUAACCGCCGUAACUUUUUUCCGUACAAAAAACACGAGCUUGAGGAACGAAGAAGGGAAACUAACAACCACCUACACACUCAAACACCAACGAGUCCGACCUCUCCAGCAGUUCGACGUUGUCCUCAUCAUCGGUAUAAUGAUGAUGAUUAAACACAUAUAAUGAAUGGUCCUGGAACUUGCUUAGGUUAAGAAAGAUCAAUAGAAGAAACAACAAGAAUUAAGGGGGGAGGGGACGAGGGACUAGGCCCGGACAAGGAUUAAAAAAAACAAACCAAAGGACACACUACGUAAAACCUAAACUACUACGUCCACUGAUCGGUAUCUACACCAGACCACAGGGUUCGAAGACGGAGCUCCAGCGCUACGAAGCGGUUCUUAGUACUGCCACGACGGAACACGGGCGGUGCGCGUCUUGACCCCCAGCACUCCUCCUUCUGUUCCGGUGUCUGCUCUUUAAGCUCUGCCGCCACCGUCGUUUAUAUUGAACUCGGACUAAUAAAAAAACGAUCGAACCACAAGACGAAAGUAUCCAAACCUCGAGGUUUAAAUUCGAAAACGAGACCUAGAAGUUAACUAGGUGUCCGAAGACUAGUAAGACUUGUUUACGAACUCGAGAAACAACAAACUACACUAAAACCUUUCAACAAACGAAAGGGAACUAGCUAAAGACUUAGAGGAGGGAAGAAAUCACCUCGAGGAACGUUCACAACACAAUUAAGUACCAAUUUAAGAUAAAACCACAACCG